rnacentral:rRNA from 1 species
GACGAACGCUGGCGGCGUGCUUAACACAUGCAAGUCGAACGGUGAAGGGACCGGUUUUUGCUGGUUCUGGAUGAGUGGCGAACGGGUGAGUAACACGUGAGUAACCUGCCCCCUUCUUCUGGAUAACCGCAUGAAAGUGUGGCUAAUACGGGAUAUUCUGCGCCUGCUGCAUGGUGGGUGUGGGAAAGAUAUUGUUUCGGUGGGGGAUGGGCUCGCGGCCUAUCAGCUUGUUGGUGGGGGGAUGGCCUACCAAGGCGGUGACGGGUAGCCGGGCUGAGGGGGUGGGCGGUCACACGGGGGCUGAGACACGGACAAGACUACUACGGGAGGCAGCAGGGGGGAAUAUUGCACAAUGGGCGCAAGCCUGAUGCAGCGACGCCGCGUGAGGGAUGGAGGCCUUCGGGUUGUAAACCUCUUUCGCCAGUGAAGCAGGCCUGUCCCUUUUGUGGGUGGGUUGACGGUAGCUGGAUAAGAAGCGCCGGCUAACUACGUG